UCCAAUCGAACUCGGAGAUAGCUGGUUCUCCCCGAAAUAGCUUUAGGGCUAGCGUCAGAGUGAAAGUUAUGUGAAGGUAGAGCACUGAAUAUGUGAUGGCCUCAUCCCGAGGUACUGAAUAUAAUCAAACUCCGAAUGUCACAGGAACAUAUCUGGCAGUCAGACUGCGGGUGAUAAGGUCCGUAGUCAAAAGGGAAACAGCCCAGACCAUCAGCUAAGGUCCCAAAAUAUAUGCUAAGUGGAAAAGGAUGUGGAGAUGUCCAGACAACCAGGAGGUUGGCUCAGAAGCAGCCACCCUUUAAAGAGUGCGUAACAGCUCACUGGUCGAGUGACUCUGCGCCGAAAAUUUACCGGGGCUAAGCAUAAUACCGAAGCUAUGGAUUUAUGCGACAAGUAUAAGUGGUAGGGGAGCGUUCCUGUCAGCGAGGAAGCAUGACCGCAAGGACAUGUGGAGCGGCAGGAAGAGAGAAUGCCGGUGUGAGUAGCGGAACGUGGGUGAGAAUCCCACGCACCGAAAACCCAAGGUUUCCAGAGGAAGGUUCGUCCGCUCUGGGUAAGUCGGGACCUAAGGCGAGGCCGAAAGGCGUAGUCGAUGGACAACAGGUAGAGAUUCCUGUACCCGUAUAUAUGUGAAGGAAUGACGGAGAGAGGAAGCUGCAGCCAGCGGCUGGAAGAGCUGGUGCAAGCGAGAUAUCGGGAUGGCAGGCAAAUCCACCAUCCGAAACGAGAAGGCGUGAAGCGUACGGAAAGCUACGGCGAGUACGGAAGGCAGUGGAGGAACUUCCAAGAAAAGUUUCUAACGUAAAGUAUAUAUGGCCCGUACCGAAAAUGGACACACAUGGGUGAGGAGAGAAUCCUAAGGUGAGCGAGAGAACUAUAGCUAAGGAACUCUGCAAAAUGACUCCGUAACUUAGGGAGAAGGAGUGCUCAUAGAGAUAUGAGCCGCAGUGAAACGGCCCAAGCGACUGUUUACCAAAAACACAGCUCUCUGCUAAGCCGCAAGGCGAAGUAUAGGGGGUGACGCCUGCCCGGUGCUGGAAGGUUAAGGGGAGGGGUUAACGCAAGUGAAGCCCUGAACUGAAGCCCCAGUAAACGGCGGCCGUAACUAUAACGGUCCUAAGGUAGCGAAAUUCCUUGUCAGGUAAGUUCUGACCCGCACGAAAGGCGUAACGAUUUGGGCGCUGUCUCAGCUGUAGACUCGGUGAAGUCUUAGUACCUGUGAAGAUGCAGGUUACCCGCGACUAGACGGAAAGACCCCAUGGAGCUUCACUGCAGGUUGAUAUUGGGAUUUGAUGCAGCAUGUACAGGAUAGGUAGGAGGCAAAGAGAUGGAUACGCCAGUAUUCAAGGAGCCGCUGUUGGGAUACUACCCCUGUUGUAUUGGAUUUCUAACCGGACGACGUAGAGCCGUUGACGGGACAGUGUCAGUCGGGCAGUUUGACUGGGGCGGUCGCCUCCCAAAGAGUAACGGAGGCGCCCAAAGAUACCCUCAGCAUGGUUGGAAAUCAUGCGUAGAGUGCAAAGGC
rnacentral:rRNA from 1 species